CGAACGGGUGCGUAACACAUGAGUCAUCUGCCCAGAAGUGGGGAAUAGCUCGGCGAAAGCCGGAUUAAUACCGCAUGUGGUCGUAAGACCAAAGCCGGGGCAACCUGGCGCUUUCGGAGGAGCUCGUGGCCUAUCAGCUAGUUGGUGAGGUAACGGCUUACCAAGGCAACGACGGGUAGCUGGUCUGAGAGGACGACCAGCCACACUGGAACUGAGAUACGGUCCAGACACCUACGGGUGGCAGCAGUCGAGAAUUUUUCUCAAUGGGGGAAACCCUGAAGGAGCGACGCCGCGUGGAGGAUGAAUGCUUUCGGGUUGUAAACUCCUGUCAUUUGGGAACAAGGCCUUACGUUAACUGCGUGGAGGAUNGAUAGUACCAGAAGAGGAAGAGACGGCUAACUCUGUGCCAGCAGCCGCGGUAAUACAGAGGUCUCGAGCGUNGUUCGGAUUCAUUGGGCGUA
rnacentral:rRNA from 1 species